AGCACAGAGGAGCUUGCUCCUUGGGUGGCGAGUGGCGGACGGGUGAGUAAUGCAUCGGGAUCUACCCUGACGUGGGGGAUAACCUCGGGAAACCGGGACUAAUACCGCAUACGUCCUACGGGAGAAAGCGGGGGACCUUCGGGCCUCGCGCGGCAGGACGAACCGAUGUGCGAUUAGCUAGUUGGCGGGGUAAUGGCCCACCAAGGCGACGAUCGCUAGCUGGUCUGAGAGGAUGAUCAGCCACACUGGGACUGAGACACGGCCCAGACUCCUACGGGAGGCAGCAGUGGGGAAUAUUGGACAAUGGGCGCAAGCCUGAUCCAGCAAUGCCGCGUGUGUGAAGAAGGCCUUCGGGUUGUAAAGCACUUUUAUCAGGAGCGAAAUACCACGGGUUAAUACCCUAUGGGGCUGACGGUACCUGAGGAAUAAGCACCGGCUAACUUCGUGCCAGCAGCCGCGGUAAUACGAAGGGUGCAAGCGUUAAUCGGAAUUACUGGGCGUAAAGGGUGCGUAGGCGGUUACUUAAGUCUGUCGUGAAAUCCCCGGGCUCAACCUGGGAAUGGCGAUGGAUACUGGGUGGCUAGAGUGUGUCAGAGGAUGGUGGAAUUCCCGGUGUAGCGGUGAAAUGCGUAGAGAUCGGGAGGAACAUCAGUGGCGAAGGCGGCCAUCUGGGACAACACUGACGCUGAAGCACGAAAGCGUGGGGAGCAAACAGGAUUAGAUACCCUGGUAGUCCACGCCCUAAACGAUGCGAACU
rnacentral:rRNA from 1 species